GCUUUCUUGUACAAAGUGGUGGGGUAACGGGGAAUCAGGGUUCGAUUCCGGAGAGGGAGCCUGAGAAAUAGCUACCACAUCCAAGGAAGGCAGCAGGCGCGCAAAUUACCCACUCCCGAAACGGGGAGGUAGUGACGAUAAAUAACGAUGCGGGACUCAAUCGAGGCCCCGUAAUUGGAAUGAGUACACUUUAAAUCCUUUAACGAGGAUCAAUUGGAGGGCAAGUCUGGUGCCAGCAGCCGCGGUAAUUCCAGCUCCAAUAGCGUAUAUUAAAGUUGUUGCAGUUAAAAAGCUCGUAGUUGGAUCUCAGGAUUUGGAUGGAUGGUUCGCUUUCGGGCGCUACUAUCUGUCUGACCUACUCUAGUCGUGGAUGCCUUGGGUGCUCUUAAUUGAGUGCUUUUGGUGCCCGACGCAAUUACUUUGAAAAAAUUAGAGUGCUCAAAGCAGGCGUAUUGCCUGAAUAGUGUUGCAUGGAAUAAUGAAAUAGGAGUUUACUUCUAUUUUGUUGGUUUUCGGAGGUGAACUAAUGAUUAACAGGGACAGACGGGGGCAUUUGUAUGGAGGGGUUAGAGGUGAAAUUCUUGGAUCCUCUCCAGACAAACUACUGCGAAAGCAUUUGCCAGGAAUGUUUUCACUAAUCAAGAACGAAAGUCAGAGGUUCGAAGACGAUCAGAUACCGUCCUAGUUCUGACCAUAAAUGAUGCCAUCUAACAAUCCACGAAGUUUGCUUGUACGAACUCGUGGGCGGUCCCCGGGAAACCAAAGAUUUUGGGUUCCGGGGGAAGUAUGGUUGCAAAGCUGAAACUUAAAGGAAUUGACGGAAGGGCACCACCAGGAGUGGAGCCUGCGGCUUAAUUUGACCCAACACGGGAAACCUCACCCGGCCCGGACACUUUUAGGAUUGACAGAUUGAAGGCUCUUUCUUGAUCAAGUGGUUGGUGGUGCAUGGCCGUUCUUAGUUGGUGGAGCGAUUUGUCUGGUUAAUUCCGAUAACGAACGAGACUCUACUCUGCUAAAUAGAACGUUGAUAUAUAAAAGUCGGUGCUGACUUCUUAGAGAGACUAACGGCGUUUAGCCGUGUGAGAAAGAGCAAUAACAGGUCUGUGAUGCCCUUAGAUGUCCGGGGCCGCACGCGCGCUACACUGACUGCAGCAACUAGUAUGCUCCUAGUUUGAAAAAACUGGGUAACCUGGUUGAAUUGCAGGCGUCACAGGGAUCAGAGUUUGCAAUUAUCCUCUGUGAACGAGGAAUUCCCAGUAAGCGCAAGUCAUUAGCUUGUGCUGAUUACGUCCCUGCCCUUUGUACACACCGCCCGUCGCUACUACCGAUUGAAUGGUUUAGUGAGGUCUUCGGAUUGGUGCUGAUGGAGUGGUUCUCUGCUCUGUUAGUGCCGAGAAGAUGAUCAAACUUGAUCAUUUAGAGGAAGUAAAAGUCGUAACAAGGUU
rnacentral:rRNA from 1 species